rnacentral:rRNA from 1 species
GAUGAACGCUGGCGGCGUGCCUAAUACAUGCAAGUCGAGCGAACAGACGAGGAGCUUGCUCCUCUGACGUUAGCGGCGGACGGGUGAGUAACACGUGGAUAACCUCCCUAUAAGACUGGGAUAAUUUCGGGAAACCGGGGCUAAUACCGGAUAAAUUUUUAAACCGCAUGGUUCAAUAGUGAAAGACGGUUUUGCUGUCACUAAUAGAUGGAUCCGCGCCGCAUUAGCUAGUUGGUAAGGUAACGGCUUACCAAGGCAACGAUGCGUAGCCGACCUGAGAGGGUGAUCGGCCACACUGGAACUGAGACACGGUCCAGACUCCUACGGGAGGCAGCAGUAGGGAAUCUUCCGCAAUGGGCGAAAGCUUGACGGAGCAACGCCGCGUGAGUGAUGAAGGUCUUCGGAUCGUAAAACUCUGUUAUUAGGGAAGAACAAAUGUGUAAGUAACUAUGCACGUCUUGACGGUACCUAAUCAGAAAGCCACGGCUAACUACGUG